rnacentral:rRNA from 1 species
AAUCAACGCUGGCGGCGUGCCUAACACAUGCAAGUCGAACGCGAAAGCCCCUUCGGGGGCGAAGUAGAGUGGCGUCCGGGUGAGUAACACGUGGGUAAUCUACCUCCGGGUGGGGAAUAACUCGCCGAAAGGCGGGCUAAUACCGCAUAAUGCAGCGGCACCGAAUGGUGAUUAGUUGUUAAAGCGGGGGACCUUAGGGCCUCGCGUCUGGAGAGGAGCCUGCGGCAGAUUAGCUUGUUGGUAGGGAAUGGCCUACCAAGGCUGCGAUCUGUAGCUGGUCUGAGAGGACGGCCAGCCACACUGGCACUGACACACGGGCCAGACUCCUACGGGAGGCAGCAGUGGGGAAUUUUGGGCAAUGGGCGAAAGCCUGACCCAGCAACGCCGCGUGAAGGAGGAAAUCCUUCGGGAUGUAAACUUCACAAGCAAGGGAAGAGCGCGCAGGGUCGAAUAAACUCUGCGUCCGACGGUACCUUGCGUAAGCCACGGCUAACUACGUGCCAGCAGCCGC